rnacentral:lncRNA from 1 species
GGACUGGAGGGUACAGCCUCAUGCUCUCACAUAAAGAAGCAUGUGUGUAGACCAUGUCCUUGACUUCUUCAUAAACUGGACUCUCCGAUUUCUCUUUUAUUUCUCUGAGUAUUUCCUUUUCCACUUCUGGGUUUUGAGAGAGUAGCCAGAAAUACCAUGUUAAUGCAGCGGAAGUGGUGUCUCUGCCUGCUAGUAUAAAACUGAUGACAAUAUCAGUGACAAAGUCCUCGUCAGAAUGGCCUGAGCUCAAGAAACGUGAUAGAAGAUCUACGGUUUCGAGGGAUGAUUUGUUGCUGAGUUCCUGCUUCUUUUCUUUGAUGAUGUUUCUGGCGAACUCACGUAAUUCAGAGGAUGCUUCUUUGAGUCGUUUCUCUGAUCCAAUAUUGAAGAACCUCUUAAUCUUCCAAAGAAAGGGGAAUGGCGUAGCGAACCUGUCACUGGAUAUCCUGGCAGCUUCAUCAAAAUUUUUCGCAAAUUCGGCUUCGGGGAGAUCAGGCAGCAAGUAUGCAGGAUCGUAUCCGAAAGCAAUCUUGCAUAUGUUGUCAAAAGCGAAUCUUUGAAGUAUGUCUUGCAAAUCGAGAACUGUAUUGUUAGCCGCAGCAGUGGAGAGAAUCGGGAUUAAGCGUUGAGAUACUUCAGUAUCGACAACGGUCUCAACGAAUUUACGCAAUGAUUUGGUGUUGAAUUCAUGGCUGGAAACUUGUCUUUGAAACUUCCAAGAAUCACCAUCAAUGUUAAAGAUACCGUUUCCAAGAAAAUCGAAGAGCGUUCGCCGAAAUUUGCUACCUUUCUCAUAGUUGUAAAACUGGGUUUUAAGUAUGUGGUGGACAUUUGCUGGGUUUCCUAUAAGAACAUGUCUAUCAUCCAAGAAAAGGGGGAGAACAACUGUGGCAGAGGGUGAGUUUAGGAUAAGAUCUGAUGUCCAUUGGAUGCCUCGGUUUCUAUUGGCAAACAUGGCUGCAGAGGAUCCAAUUAAGGGGUAUGAUUUUAGGUUUGGAUUAGAUUUUGAUGAUGCUUUGGACUUGGAAUUCUUGGUGAGAUAGAAGAAGAGUGAGACAAGUAAAAGGGCAAGUAAUACUAAGAGCUCAAUAAUAGACAUGGCUUGGUCUGGUGAAUUGUUGGUGGUAUUUCUUCUUGGCUGAUGGAUAUCCAGGUAGGGGCGAUCGAUGUGUGAAUUGAUAGGUGAACCUUGCGUAGCUAUUUAUAAGCUCCAAGGACCUGCGAGGAAAGGGGCAAGGCAAGACUUCAAUUCCAUUUGAAAGAAACACUGUUCUUCUUUUUUGUAUGUGCGCGCGAUACGGUACGUGAUGAUGACUACUAUUUGAGCUCCAGAAGUAUAAAACAUUGUAUUUUGAAUCAAUUUUCGUAACUAAGCGUAUCUUUUCUCUUCUUCUUCUUUUUUUUCUAAUUUAAGUGGACAUUUCAUUUUAAUUGAAACUAAUAACUUUUCCAUUUUUAAGUGAUUAAAAGUGUUUCUAAAAUUUAUUUUAUGUUUUCAAGAGUUUAACAAAAAAAAAAAAAUACAAUGCUCAAACUGUAACUAAUGUAUCUUAUUAGUUAUAAUUUGAUCCCACCAACUUAUGCUAAAUAAUCAUUCUAUGUAGGAGAAAAAAAAAAGAUGCGCUGGUAAAUAAACUUAUUAAAAAAAAACUUAAAAAUUAAGCAACCCAAACUAUGACCUAAAAAAAUAACAAGCUGAAAUAAAAUUCGAUUCAAGCAAUACUCAGGAUUAACGAAUUAUCAAGUUAAUCUAUUAAAUUAGAUUUGACUUUUAUAAACAUUAAAAAUGCUUACAAACUCGGCAAGGAGUUCUCCUAUAACAAAAAACAAUAUUGACAAUUUAAUUUUGAAGCACACCAACUUCCCUUUCCCUCCCCCUUCCCCUUUUUAAUUCCAAGAACGGAAGUUUGUUUGAAUUCUUGUAUGAGAAUUUUGCCAUCUCGAAAGCAAAUUGACUUCUUCUUUUUUCUGCUAAAAGUUCUUUUAUGAAAAUAUUUAAUUCCAAGAACGGAAGUUUGUUUGAAUUCCUCCAUCCCAAAAAAAUAAAGGUUAGCAAAUACACUGAAUUAUCCAGAAUAUUUAUAAAAAUCAAUUCAAAAUUAAUUAAACUAAAAGGUUUUAUGGAUUUUAUGGAUAAUUUCAGUUAGAAUUUAAAAAAAAUUCAGUUUUAAAUUUUUUUAAAAAAAUUUUUAUCUAAACCCAAUCAACUAUUUAGUUUGUUAAAGCUUGAAAAAAUAAAAGCUUGUAAAAAUAAUCCAAUUAAAUGGCCUGUUAAUUCAAAAUGGAACUAUUUAAUUUUAAAAUAUAUAAAACCAAACUAAAUCAAUGGGCUUAGUUCUUUCUCUUAGUUCAAUCUGGUUAAACAUUUUGAAAAAUAAAGCUGAUAUAUUUAAGUCAUUAGCUUCAAUAACUUCUAAUUUCAAAUAUGAUAUUAAUUACUGUUAAUUUGUUAAAAUUGUUCGAAAUGUUUUUAUUGUAUUAUUGAAAAUGUAAAUAGUAAUGAAUUGUAAAAUGACUUUUUUUCAAAUGAAAACACCACUAAUUAAUACUUAAUAAGAAAUAAAUUGCCAAAAACUAAAGUUAAAUUACUAUUAUUGUCAUAUUGUCUGUAUUUGUAUUAAAUUAAUUCAAAAAAAAAGUUUCAGCGCUCAUUUUGAACUGCUGGAAUUUCUAACUAACUAUUUAUAUGUGUUUUACUUCAAAAAUCUUUCAAUCUUAGAUGGAUCGUUGUAUUAAUUAAGCUUAAACCCGUUCUCAAGUCAACCCCAUCAGCAUUUAUUAAUAUAAUAUAGUUUUCCUAGUGGCUAGAGACCAUCAGUUGUCCUAUGUCAUUUAUAUUUUUCUUAACUUUCUACCAUCAAUUUGGUCGAGCAGUAGUAGGUAUUCAUUUCGUAAUAAAUUUGAUGUGGACCCGCACUAUCUUGUUGGUCUGUAUUAAUUUUUUCUCAUAAAAAAAUAUCUUUUUAGAUGUGUAAACAUAUUUAAAAGAAAAAAAAAAUGAAUGAAUUGGAUUAUAGUUCUAACUGGUUAAAUAAACUUGUUAUAUUUUAAUCACAUAAAAAAAAUAGACAAUAAUAAUAAAUAAAUAAUUUAAAAAAAAAUUACCACAAUAACUUGAAAAAAAAAACCCUUUUUUUAAUAGCAAAGGAACGAUGAUGUUCAAUUCCUGACCAAUUAAAUAUGGAAUGAUAAAAUUUGAUUAAAAAAAUUGAUGCAGGUCCACCUGAGUUAACAUAAUAGAUAUGUAACCUAGACAAUAAAAAGUGAACUAACCUAGAUUAACCUGUCAAAUCAGCGUCCCAAGUCAUGAGGUCUGAAUAACCCAAUAGAAAAAAAAUUAAAAAAAAACCAAGAAGUCAAUUUUUUCAAAAAAAGAAAAUUAAUGUUGAAGAAUUAAGUUAUAAUAGAAAAUAAGAAAAAAAAAUAUCAACCCUUUUUAACUUUUCAAACAUAAGGUGGCAAUUUAAUCUAAACUUGAAGGAUACCUACUCGACUCAACCUAAAUGAGUAAGAUAUUUUUUGGAUAGUUACAUUACUCGAUAAGUAAUGGAUAUUGUCAAACUCGACACAAAACCCACCCAAACCUAACUAGAUAUAUAUAUACACAUUUAGAUUUUUUUUAAUACAAUAUAAUAUAUAUUGCCGCACGUGUGUGGCGUUUAGGCGAUCAUAUUCCCUGAUAGGAAUCUUUGUUUGUGAUGUGGGUGGAAAGAAUAAGGAAUUAUUGUUAUUUAUUAGUAAACAAAUAGAAAAGAAAGUUGUCAUCUUAUACUUUGAUCACUAGAAACUCUAAUUGGUGUCAAAGUAUGAGUAAAGAAAUUGAUUAUAUAAAGGGCAGGCAUUAGAACCCUUAGUACAUCUUACCCGAAAUAAACUGCAUUGUUUAUUUGUCUAAUAUAAACUCACAGUUUAGAUAAUUAUAUGGGAUCUAGCAUAUUGCCUUGAACCUAAGUAUUUUGAGUCUGACAUCUCAUCAGGCCCACAUUUCCUUAAGUUCAGUUGACGGCUGAUCUCAAGUAUGUUGGGUCUUGCAUCUCGUUAAGCUUAUGAUUCCUUGGGUUCAAUUGAUGGCUGAACCCAAGUAUAUUGGGUCUGGCAUUUUAUCAAGUCCAUGUUUCUUUAGGUUUAGCUAACGACUAAAUUUAAGUAUAUUGGGUCUGGUAUCUCGCUAGAAUCAUGUUUUCUUGGGUUUCGAAUACCACCAACCCUGAGUUAUAUUAGACUUAGUUGAUCACCAAACCCAAGUGUUUUUGGUUUGACAUAAUAUCAUACUCAUGUCCUUUUGGGUUUGGCUGAUUAUUGAUCCCAAGUGAUUUGAGGUCUGGCAUUUCACCAAACUCAUGUUGUUUUAAACUUUUUCAAGUCUUAAAAAGAUAUGCAAAAAAAUAACUUACCUUAUAAAAAGAAAAAAUCUAAAUUAUAGCAUGAUAUUUUGAGUCAAUACCUUCAUUAUAUGAAUAGUCAAUAAUCUUUUUUUUUAUCAUCAAAUCAUAUAAUUUAUGCUAAUAAUCAAAUAGAGUAUAUGAAAGAAGUGUCUAUCAAUAAAUUGUUUUAUUUUUAUAUUUUACCCGUCUAAAGUAUAUAAUAGAAGCUUAGAGUUUAAUUAAAUUAAAAAAGAAGAAGAAGAAGAAGAAGCAAAAGGCACACAUAAUUGCUUUGUUUAGGCAAAAGAGGUUUUGAUAUCAUUAUUUAUUUACUUAGAAUUUGGAUCAGAGAAUGGACUGCGAUUACCAUCAUGUUAAUUAUAUUUCGGGUCAUAUAUAUUAUAGAGUAGAGGACUUCUCCAUACUAUACUAUAUACAGGUUUCACAUCAUUCACAUCAUUAUAAUUUUAUUUUAUAAUGUAGUUUUUUAUUUUUAUUUUUAAAUACUUAUUUUAUUCAAAACUUGCAUACAAAUUAUAAAAUAAUUUCAUAUCCUUUAUGUUGUAACCCAUUUUUGGGUCUCCACAAAAAAAAAUAAUAAUAAAUAAAUAGCCGAAGAAGGUUAGAAAAAUAAUAGAAGGCAUAAGCGCUCAGAAAAUGGUCGAAAGAUUGGUCAAGGAGGUUAAAAAAUACAAAGAUUGGAUUUUUGGCAGUAUAUUCUUGAAGGAUGAGAGCCCUGUUGAGAAGGAAAAUUUGAGUUUUUGAGGAGAAAACCCCAAAUUUGGAUGUUUAUGGACUUAAUUGGAUUUUAUUUGAAUUUAUAGAGGAUUGGAGUGCAAGAAAAAUUGAUUUUUAAGUCAAUUUGGGCUUUAAUUGGAAGAAAUUUAAGUUCUGGGGCCAAAAUAUAUUUUUUGGAAUUUAUUAGGCCAAAUCAGGGGCUUAAUUGCAUAAAUAUUGAAGUUUAAUGGCCAAUUAGGGGUUUAAUUGUGAAAAUCCGAAACCAGGGACCAAUUUGGAAAACGCGGGUAAAUAGAGGGGGCUGUCUUGAUUUGAUCCAGGGGCGUAAUUGAAGAAAUUAGAAGUUUAUUGAUCAAUUGAGGGCUUAAUUGCAUAAAUCAGAGGCCAAGGACCAAGGUGAAAAACGCGGCCAACUAUGGGGGCGAGGACCGAAAUUGGCAGGGAUGCAAUUGAAAGAAUCAAAAGAUAAUUGAGGGCUGAGUUGAAAUUUCGCGUAUUCUGGCGCCUUUUUUAAAUGAAACGGCGCGUUUUCCCCAAAACGACGCCGUUUCAUAUAUAUAUAAAAGGACCGAACGGUGCCGUUUUGAACGGCACUGUUCCCCUUUCUUCUUCCUCCCCGAACGUGCAGCGAGCAUGGACAAAACCUUUGUUUAAUCAGCCGGUGCCCCUCUCUCCUCGCGUGCGCUGACAGACCAAGCCCAUGCACCUCGGACGACGCGAAGCCAGGAGGGCCACGCCUUGAUCCACCACGCUCGCCGACCAGCCGACCGGCGCUGUGCUGCUCCCCACGUUGCCCAGCUCAACCCACGUUGUUCUGCUCCCCACGCUGCCCAUGCAGCCCCGCUCCCUUUGCUCGCCUAUAAAAGAAAGGUGGAGACUGGAAGCACGGGAGAAGAAGGAGAAGGAAAAUAACCGAGACCAAGAGAGAGAGAGACCGAAGGAGAGAGAAACAGUGGAACUAAAGUAAUAAACACAUAAAACUCAAGGAAACGAAACUGGGAGAAGGGGUAAGAGAUGAAGCCGGGAAAGCUUAGAGAAAAAAAACCAAGCACACCCGAGGCACCGACUGUUGGGAACCGUCGCUUUGAGCCGCCGACCUCCGCUGCAGCACCAUCAACCGGACGUUCGACCAACAGCAUCGCCUCCGCCAGGUAUUCUUCUCCCCCUGCUUUUCAUUUUGUUAUUUUUUUCCUCCUGCAUGCAGAAUCGUUCUGCAUGCAGGAGGUAGGGGAAGGGAAUUAUUUCCCUUCCCCGUUGGGUUUUUUUACACUGGGCCGGGUUUCCGGCCCAGUUUUGUUAUUAGUUUUUUUGGGCCAGACCGAGUCUGGCCCAGUCAAAGAGAAGUUUUUGUUGGGCCGAGAUCGGCCCAUCCACCUUGCGGGCCGAGAUCGGCCCCCUCCUUGCGGGCCGAGAUCGGCCCAGCCUUUUGUUGGGCCGAGAUCGGCCCAACCUCCUUGCGGGCCGAGAUCGGCCCAAUCCUGUUUGGGCUGAUGUUGGGCCCGAUUCCAGCUGGGUUGGGUUCGGCCCAUUCAUUUGGGCCGGCCCAACCCGAAUUUUUAUUAUAUAUAUAUUAUGAAUUAUAGUAUAUUGUAAUAUAUAUGUGUGUAUAUUGUGUAUAUAUAUUUUUACUUAAAAAAAAAUAUUUCGAAAAAAAUCUUAAAAAAUAUUGUUGAUUUCCCUGAAUAUUUUUGUCAAAAUGGGUUAAUGUUGGUUGGUAUUUUUAUACUGUAAAGAUACAAAACCAGUGUUAAAAAUACCCGGUUUUCGUAAAAAUAUCAAAGAUUUUCAGAAUAAAAAAUGUUUUUUGCCUUCAAAAAAAUUUCUAAAAAAUACCUAAAAAUGUUGUUGAUUUUUCUGCAUAUUUUUAUUAAGUGGAAUAAUAUUGGGUUGUAUUUUUAUACCGUAAGGAUACAAGCUCAGUAUUUAAAUACCCGAUUUACGUCAAAGCAAAAAAAAAUUAAUAAUAAUAUUUUCAAAAAUUGUUUUUGUUUUAAAAUACGGCUUAGUCUCUCCAAUAUAUAUAUAUAAAAUUAUAACAUCAUAUUUUACACAACAAAGAAAAUUUUCAAAACAAUAUAUGUAUUAGCAUGCAUUUUGGCUUUAAUAACCAGUUUAUUUAAGCCAUGAGAACUAGGCCAAUAUUUCAAAAAUUCUAAAAAAUCUUUUUGUUUUCUUUUUAGUAUUUGGGAUUACGAAUUUAUACGUAAAACGUAUUCCUAAAUAUUAUUUUUGGUAUAGACGUUAGAACGGUUAAGAUUUUACCCGAUAAGAUAAAAGACCUUCUUACUGAGGAGGAUUUUUCUUGAACCAUAGACAGACCAACGACUAGAAUACAAUAACACCUUUUUUUAUCAGACAAUAAAACAAUGCAGCUUACCUUAGGUAAGGCGUAUUUGGGGUGCUAAUACCUUCCCUUUACGCAACCAGUCCCCGUACCCAAUCUCUGAGACCAGUUAGGGUUCCUAGUGACCAAAAUACUAGGUGGCGACUCCCAUUCCAUUUUUUACCAAUAAAAAAUAGUAUUUUCUCGUAUCCCCAUAGAUAUAUUACAUUAAAGAUUUAAAAAAUGGAAAAAACUUAGAUUUUCGCCGCGACGCCGCACACGUGCGACACUUUAGAUCACUCACAACUUUUUUUACUGAUAUUUUUUUAAUUGAUUAAAAAAAUAUAAAAAAAUAUCAUAUGAAAUAUUAUUUAAAUGAAUUCAACAUGUGAAUAUGAUUUUUAAAAAUUUAAUUAGAUAAAUGUAUAUAUUUAAUCAUUGAAGAUUGAUAGUCAUAAAAAUAAAAUUAUUGUCAUGACAAAACUUCAAUUGAAUUUAGCAUUGGUCAUGUGAUUGUUUCACUUGAAUCGAACUCAAUGAAAAAGAUAUUUAUAUUUUAUUAAUUACUGAAGUUGUUUGUUUUAUUGGGUAAUAAUAAGUAACAAUAUCUAUAUAAUUGAAAGUUGAACUCACUUUAAAAAUAACAUUUGCUAAUAGUAAUUUUAUUUAAUAUUGUUACAACCAAAAUUUGAUCAUGUUUAAUUUUUGUAUAAAGAAAAUACACAGAAAAUAAUAAAUAAUAAUAAUAAUAAUUAUUAUUAUUAUUAUUAUAAAAUAAGGUUAAAAUAUACCGUGGAGAGGCAAAAUCAAAUGAAUAAUUGGAUUUAAUGGGCCAAAGAUUAAAUAAAAAAACAAAAGAAAUAAUUUUGAAUCCAAAAGGGACAAAAAUAUUGAAAUGAAAAUUAAGAAAAUGGUUAAAUUGACCUAAAAUUAAAGAUUUUGGAAGACAAUGACUGAAAUAUAUAGAAGGGGAUAAGUUAAGGGACCCAUUCCAAUUCAAUAAGGGGGCGAAAUUAAAAGCAAUUAAGAUAAAAAGUUCAAAAUUGAUUUAAAAAGGAAACAUUUGGAAGAACAAUGAUGAAAAUGGAAAAGACAGAAGAAUGAAGGGAUCUAAGUUGAACUUAUCCAUUCCAAAACAACACCGUUUGGGUUCUAGUUAAAAAAACCUCAAUCCCAAAUUGCGAUAAAAACCGACACCGUUUCACUUAAAGUGAAACGGUGUGUUUUAUGAGGCAAAGAACCAAAAACGGAACAAGAUAAACGACGUCGCUUUUUUCUUAUUCUUGAGGUUUAUUUCUGGGCAAACAAGAACGUAUGAAGAGGCUAAUUUCCAGCCAUUUUCGAAUGAUCUUUGGCUCCGAUUUCUGGCUUUGAUGGACUCUCCCCGCGAGGAAAAAAACAUACUGUGUUGUUCUCCAACAUGCAAGAUACCAUCCUGAGGUAAAGAAUCAUGUUUUCAUUCCUUAUUCUUCUCCCAAGAAUUAUGCAAAGACAUAUAUACCAGUCACCAGCUCCUUAUCCAGUUUUCAGUCCAAAUUCAUCUGCUUUUGAAGACUGAUUUUUCGCAUGUUUGAUAGAAGACCCUGAGGGAUUCAGACCAGCAUUACCAACUAUAAAAGGACAUUGGUUUUGACGAAAAGAAAAAACAGAGAGAGAGGGGUGGGGUGGGUUAAAAAUAGAGACAAAAGGAUACAAAAAUACCUGUUUGAACUUUGUUUCUAAGAUUUCCGGUGAUAGUUGCCUGACAAAGAGAAGUGUUUCUGACUAAGAUCCAAAGUGGUAUAAUAAACCUUGUUUGGUCUGCAUCAAAACAGGUACCGUGCAUUUUUCAUUUCAGUUCUUACACUGGUAAUAUCUCAUUGAAAUAUGAACCUUCUGUUAAUUUGUCCUUGGUCAAUUGAAUUCAAUGAUUGGAUCUCCCUUUACGUAGAACUUGAUAGAAUAAUCCCUGCUCAUUGAGUAAUCUUGAAAUCUAUCAUGAGUGUCCAGUUGUUAGUUUUCUUCCUUCUGCAGAAUUAUCUCUCCCACCUGCAAUUCAUUUGUGUUUAAGAAACAUAAUAAAUAAAAAACACUUGCUCUCCAAGAAUUAGUUUACCCUGUACUAGAAGUUCAUGACCAACGGUCACUUUAUAGUAGCUAAUUGUCUUGUAUUUCUUCAUCUUUCUUGCUGCAUGAAUGCUUGCCUGUGCGCGUGUCAUGGAGAUUAAAAAAACAUGGAAUGAUACAAUUCACGAAUAAGAGAGGUGGAAAAAGAACUCCGAGUGAAAGAUUUGAACUUUAGGAAUACUCAACCAAGUAAAGUUCAAUAAGGAAGGAUGCUAAAUGCUCAAGGUGGCAGCAAGAGUUAAUAUUAGGUUUAAUAGAUUUAAAUUGCUAUUGACAAUAUUACAUGCAAGAAAUUACACUAAUUUUAUUUUUUAUCAUCCAUGCCUACAGCUGAUUACAAACAAAAGUCAACAAAAUAACUAAAAUCCAUUACAGGAAUCAUGCCGAUUAUUAAUUGCAAAUUAACAACUGAUCAUACACGACAGUACUGAAAUCAAGAUAAUUUAAUUAGCUCUCUCCUCGAACCUCACAGGAAAACCACCCUGCAUUUUGGACGUCAAAUAAGAGACAAACACGGGCUCAAAACCCUCCUCUGCAGCAGGAACAACCUUAAACCUCCGCAAAAUCCCGGCUACCACCCUUUUCAUUUGCAAGAAAGCCAUGUCCUUACCCAAACAGAUCCUUGGUCCGGCCUGAAAAACAGGGUAGGAGUAUGGGUCCCUCCCUGCAAAACUCCACUUCCCAUUAUUAUUAACUCCAUCGCCAGCUCCCUGCAGCCAUCUCUCUGGCUUGAACUUUUCCCAAUCCGGACCCCACAACAUCUCGAGCCUCCCCAUUGCAUACGGAUGGUAAGACACUCUCAUUCCCUUCUUAAUCACAGUCCCGUCAGGCAAGACAUCGUCCUGCGUCGCAACCUUGCCAUCUACUGGGACUGGAGGGUACAGCCUCAUGCUCUCACAUAAAGAAGCAUGUGUGUAGACCAUGUCCUUGACUUCUUCAUAAACUGGACUCUCCGAUUUCUCUUUUAUUUCUCUGAGUAUUUCCCUUUCCACUUCUGGGUUUUGAGAGAGUAGCCAGAAAUACCAUGUUAAGGCAGCGGAAGUGGUGUCUCGGCCUGCUAGUAUAAAACUGAUGACAAUAUCAGUGACAAAGUCCUCGUCAGAAUGGCCUGAACUCAAGAAACGUGAUAGAAGAUCUACGGUUUCAAUGGAUGAUUUGUUGCUGAGUUCCUGCUUCUUUUCUUUGAUGAUGUUUCUGGCGAACUCACGUAAUUCAGAGGAUGCUUCUUUGAGGCGUUUCUCUGAUCCAAUAUUGAAGACCCUCUUAAUCUUCCAAAGAAAGGGGAAUAGCGUAGCGAACCUGUCACUGGAUAUCCUGGCAGCUUCAUCAAAAGUUUUCGCAAAUUCGGCUUCGGGGAGAUCAGGCAGCAAGUAUGCAGGAUCGUAUCCGAAAGCGAUCUUGCAGAUGUUGUCAAAAGCGAAUCUUUGAAGUAUGUCUUGCAAAUCGAGAACUGUAUUGUUAGCCGCAGCAGUGGAGAGAAUCGGGAUUAAGCGUUGAGAUACUUCAGUAUCGACAACGGUCUCAACGAAUUUACGCAAUGAUUUGGUGUUGAAUUCAUGGCUGGAAACUUGUCUUUGAAACUUCCAAGAAUCACCAUCAAUGUUAAAGAUACCGUUUCCAAGAAAAUCAAAGAGGGUUCGCCGAGCUUUGCUACCUUUCUCAUAGUUGUAAAACUGGGUUUUAAGCAUGUGUUGGACAUUUGCUGGGUUUCCUGUAAGAACACGGCUAUCAUCCAAGAAACGGCGGAUAACAACAGUGGCAGUGGGUGAGUUUUGGAUAAGAUCUGAAGUCCACUGGAUGCCUCGGUUUCUAUUGGCAAAAAUGGCUACAGAGGAUCCAAUUAAGGGGUAUGAUUUUAGGUUUGGAUUAGAUUUUGAUGCUUUGGACUUGGAAUUCUUGGUGAGAUAGAAGAAGAUUGCGACUAGUACAAGGGCAAGUGAUGCUAAGAGCUCGAUAAUAGACAUGGCUUGGUCUGGUGAAUUGUUGGUGGUAUUUCUUCUUGGCUGAUGGAUAUCCAGGUAGGGGCGAUCGAUGUGUGAAUUGAUAGGUGAACCUUGCGUAGCUAUUUAUAAGCUCCGAGGACCUGCGAGGAAAGGGGCAAGGCAAGACUUCUCAAUUCCAUCUGAAAGAAACACUGUUCUUCUUUUUUGUAUGUGUGCGCGAUAACGUACGUGAUGAUGACUACUCUUUCGGCUCCUGAAGUAUAAACCAUUCUAUCUUGAGAUUUCCUUUUAUGUUGAAAAUAGUAUCAAUUCAAGAGUUUAUUAUUUUAAAAUUUAAGCUGAUAAUUUUAUAUUAUUUCUAUCUCAUUAAGAAUAAUAAUUAAUCUUUUAAUUUAUGAAUAAUAAAUUUAAGCUGAUAAUCAUCACAAGAAUAAUACGCUUUUUAAUAAUUAAAGUUUUAAAAUUAUAUUAUCUCUAAGACUCUGCCACGUUUUGAGUAUGUGUUAAUUAACAAUUAAUCUUUUUUCAUAAUAAAUUAUUUUGUGGAAGCUUCUUUUCUAAAGAAUGUUUUCAGUCUUGGAUGUCCUGCGAAUUACAUGACAGUGUGAACGUGGCUGAUUGACAGCUGUUUGAAGGCUUGAUUACGUAACUAAGUCGUCACUUAAAGCCCAAGGACGGAGUUUUAUUUACCACAGUCGAAGAAAAAAUAGUAAAGUAAUAAAAACAAUUAAUACAUUUUCAUGAAAAUAAUUUUAAAAAUCAUCAGCAUUGUAAUAUCAUAUAAAAAUUUAAUUAAAAAAUUUACAUAUACAAAAACACAUGCCAAAACCAAAAGAAAAAAAUUAAAGGAGAAUAAUUUUACCACAUACAACAUUAAUUUAAAAUUUUAUUACUAGAUAAAUAACUUUUAUCUAAUCUAUUUUUUAAGAGAUUUAUAAUUUUUAAAUAAACCAAAAAACCAAGAUAAACAAACUAGUAAACCUGUAAAUAAAGAAAAAGCAAAAAAAUUCUAAACAAACUAGAAAAAUAAAAUUAUCAACAUCAAUAUUUAAUUUUCUAAACUAAAUUAAAAAUAUAUAUAUAUAAAAACCUCAUAAAGAAAAAAAAUUCCUAAAAUAAAUAGAAAAUAAUCAUAACCAAGAAAAAUAUUUUCCUAGACUAAAUUAGAAAGUGCUUUUGGGUGAUGUGUAUGUUUCAUUUUGGUCUCCAUUAAUGAUCUUUUUUAUUUUUGCUGUUAAAUUUAUCUUGUAGAGAUCUUUUUAAUAAUACAGGAGGCGUUGACUCAAUUAUUUAUUUAUUUACUCAUUCUCUAUCCUUUUUGUUUUUUUAAGAUUUGUGCUCAGCCACGUUAAUAACUUUUCGUGCAAAAUUAUAUGUUAAUGGUUUUUUUUUUAUUUUUUAAAAAUUAUUUUUAAUAUCAGCACAUUAAAAUGAUUUGAAAAUAUUAAAAACAUAUUAAUUUAAAGUUAAUAAAAAAUAAAAAAAAUUAAGUUUUUCAAUAAAAACUAAGAGAGAGAGAGAGAAAGAGAGAGGGAUCAGAGUGCAGCGCUCUAACAAAAGAAGAAUUCAGAAGAAGCAAGUCUUUUUAUCUAAACACACAUGGAUGAUAUAUAUUCAUAAAUAGUUCUUACAUCGAAUCCAAACAUAAGAAAAAAGAGAAAUAAAUUACAUCUCAGUCUUAUGAUACCUAUAAUUAACCACAAACUUCACAUGUGGUGACUGAGUUCUGAAUCACAAUCAGGUGGCAGCACUUGCACCAGGGCAUGCAUAUGCAUAUUUUAUACAAGCAACUUUACCUUUGAUUAAGGGCAAUGACCACCGUUGGAGUUCCCUUUGUUUAUGUUAGUGCAUGGUGAAGCAGCAGAUGGAGGGACUGGGCUCCUUUGAAGGGAAACUUCAGCUGCAUCAGCACUACCACCAGCACCUGGUUUCUUUUCUUGUAAGAACCUAGAAUCUACAAAAGGUUUGGUUGCAGGAACCAACAAGAUAAUUACAAUCAUCACUGUCUUGCAGAGUAUUAAGUUUCUGCUCGUUUUCAUGAUUUUCAAAUAUUUAUGAAAGGAUUAAGGCAGAUAUUUAGAAGAUUAUGAGCACAAGUGGCCGGAUAAGGGUUUCUUCUCCCUUGGAACUGUUUCACCAAUAACCUAAGGUCAGGUUUCUGCAAUGAGCAACUCCAGUGGAGAUCCACCUUUAUAUAUUGGUGGAAUGGAAGUUAAAGCCGCUCCACUAAAGGAGAGCUGCAUCAAACGAAAUUUCCUAGCUCUAAAGCCUAUGCUAAUUGCUCAUAGCUUUCUAUAUUGAAAGAGUUUUAAUUUAUCUGUGUGGAAAAAAAUAUAAAACUAUUUUUUAUUCUUAGGGAUAUUUAAAAGUGUAGUAUUAAUUACUUUCUAAAAUAAUUUUUACUUGAAAAUAUAUCAAAAUAUUUUUUAUUUUUUAAAAAUUAUUUUGAUAUCAACACAUCAAAAUUAUACAUAAAAUAUAAACAAUAUUAAUUUUAAAUAUAUUUUUGUAAAAACACCGUUAGUAUUGUUUCCAUAGCCUAUUUAAUUAACUAGGUGAUUUAAGUUGAAAUAUUCUACUAUUUUCAUUAUUGUUAAAAUAAAAUAAAAACUAAAGAGCUAGAAAAACUCCAUGAGACAAUAAAGAACAUAACCAGAAAAAUAAAAUAAAAUAUAAGAAUAUUAAUUCAAGAACUUUAUAAAAAAAAAUUAAUAUAAAAUCAUUGUUCGAAUUUUGCCGAACAAUUUAAUUAAGCUUAUAACAUAGCUUAUCCUGAUCAAAUUAAAAAAAAAAAAAAAAAAACCAGAACGAUUAGCACGUCAAGCAAAUGAUCUUGCACGCAGAGACAAAAAGAAAGCAAAUGAUACCCUCAAGUCACUUACUAACGACACAUAUCCAUUUAAACUUAGAAACCCUAAAAAGCAUCAUCCAUUUUGCUUAUUGAUUUUCGAUCCAACAACCAAAAAUUAUGUUAUUUUUGUUUUUUGUUUUUUUAUAUGUACACACACUGUGCUAUAUUUAAAUAUCAAGAACUAGUUAAUCUCUUGAUUUAAAGGAUGCUCAAAACACUCGUAUUGUAUUUCAUAUACAUCUAUAUUCUUCUUUUUUGUAUGUGUGCGCGAUAACGUACGUGAUGUUGACUACUUUUUCGGCUCCUGAAGUAUAAACCAUUAUAUCUUGAGAUUUCCUUUUAUGUUGAAAAUAGUAUCAAUUCAAGAUUAUAUUAUUUUAAACUCCAUGAGACAAUAAAGAACAUAACCAGAAAAAUAAAAUAAAAUAUAAGAAUAUUAAUUCAAGAACUUUAUAAAAAAAAAUUAAUAUAAAAUCAUUGUUCGAAUUUUGCCGAACAAUUUAAUUAAGCUUAAACAUAGCUUAUCUGAUCAAAUUAAAAAAAAAAAAAAAAAAAAAACCAGAACGAUUAGCACGUCAAGCAAAUGAUCUUGCACGCAGAGACAAAAAGAAAGCAAAUGAUACCCUCGAGUCACUUACUAACGACACAUAUCCAUUUAAACUUAGAACCCUAAAGCAUCCAUUUUGCUUAUUGAUUUUCGAUCCAACAACCAAAAAUUAUGUUAUUUUUGUUUUUUGUUUUUUUAUAUGUACACACACUGUGCUAUAUUUAAAUAUCAAGAACUAGUUAAUCUCUUGAUUUAAAGGAUGCUCAAAACACUCGUAUUGUAUUUCAUAUACAUCUAUAUUCUUCUUUUUUGUAUGUGUGCGCGAUAACGUACGUGAUGUUGACUACUUUUUCGGCUCCUGAAGUAUAAACCAUUAUAUCUUGAGAUUUCCUUUUAUGUUGAAAAUAGUAUCAAUUCAAGAUUAUAUUAUUUUAAAAUUUAAGAUGAUAAUUUUAUAUUAUUUCUAUCUCAUUAUGAAUAAUAAAUUAAUCUUUUAAUUUAUGAAUAAUAAAUUUAAGCUGAUAAUCAUCACAAGAAUAAUACGCUUUUUAAUAAUUAAAGUUUUAAAAUUAUAUUAUCUCUAAGACUCUUUCACGUUUUGAGUAUGUGUUAAUUAACAAUUAAUCUUUUUUCAUAAUAAAUUAUUUUGUAGAAGCUUCUUUUCUAAAGAAUGUUUUCAGUCUUGGAUGUCCUGCGAAUUACAUGACAGUGUGAACGUGGGCUGAUUGACAGCUGUUUGAAGGCUUGAUUACGUAACUAAGCUCGUCACUUAAAGCCCAAGGACGGAGUUUUAUUUACCACAGUCGAAAGAAAAAAUAGUAAAGUAAUAAAAAAACAAUUAAUACAUUUUCAUGAAAAUAAUUUUUAAAAAUCAUCACGCAUUGUAAUAUCAUAUAAAAAUUUAAUUAAAAAAUUUACAUAUACAAAAACAACAUGCCAAAAACCAAAAGAAAAAAAAUUAAAGGAGAAUAAUUUUACCACAUACAACAUUAAUUUAAAAUUUUAUUACUAGAUAAAUAACUUUUAUCUAAUCUAUUUUUUUAAGAGAUUUAUAAUUUUUUAAAUAAACCCAAAAAACCAAGAUAAACAAACUAGUAAACCUGUAAAUAAAGAAAAAGCAAUAAAAAUUCUAAACAAACUAGAAAAAUAAAAUUAUCAACAUCAAUAUUUAAUUUUCUAAACUAAAUUAAAAAAAUAUAUAUAUAAAAACCUCAUAAAGAAAAAAAAUUCCUAAAAUAAAUAGAAAAUAGUCAUAACCAAGAAAAAUAUUUUCCUAGACUAAAUUAGAAAGUGCUUUUGGGUGAUGUGUAUGUUUCAUUUUGGUCUCCAUUAAUGAUCUUUUUUAUUUUUGCUGUUAAAUUUAUUUUGUAGAGAUCUUUUUAAUAAUACAGGGGUGUUGACUCAAUUAUUUAUUUAUUUACUCAUUCUCUAUCCUUUUUGUUUUUUUAUUUUUUAAAAAUUAUUUUUAACAUCAGCACAUUAAAAUGAUUUGAAAACACUAAAAACAUAUUAAUUUAAAGUUAAUAAAAAAUAAAAAAAAACUUAAGUUUUUUUUAAAAAACACUUUUGAGAUGUAGAAACAAAUAGGUCCUUAUUAAACUAUGCUAUUUUACCAAUAAAAAAAAAUUAUUCUACUAAUUUACAAAAAACAAAUCCAAACUAUGUUAGAAUUUAGAAAGGAAUUUUACCCUUUUGUUGUUAUAAAUGUCCCUCUUUAAAGUUUUAUUUUAUUAAUGUCACCUGAUAGAAUAAAAAAUAGAUACAAAAAAAAAAUAUGUUUAUUUAAAUAAAGGAAUAAAUGGUGAUGAAGAUAUCAGAUUUUUAAUGUGAAUAUAUAUCUUUUCAAAACAUAAAAGAUAAAAAGACAUGUACUUUAUAUUCAAAUUAUUUCUUUCUUUUUUUGUAUUUUAAAUAUAUUUGUUACAGUAUAUGGCUUAUAUUGAGUGGAACAUAUAUAUAAUGUCUAAUUUGUUGUCUAAGGAUGAUCUUGAGUUUUCUUAGAGAUUUUUACUGAAAACCCAUGGCUUGUUCAUCCAAAUACGGUUAACUUUAUUGGAUAUUGCCAGCAUUCAAGAUAUCUGGCUACUAUUUAUGAUCUGAAGCCACUAGAUACAGUACAUCAUCUUUUACAAAAAAAUUACUUAGUGUUUUCUAUUACAUUAUUUAGCAUGAAUACUAGAGUGUGUUUAAGAAUGUAAAUGAAGUUAUUUUUAAAGUGUUUUUUAUUUCAAAAUAUAUUAAAAUAAUAUAUUUUUUAUGUUUUAAAAAAAUUAUUUUUCACAUCAAAAUUAUCCAAAAACACUAAAAAAAUAUUAAUUUGAAGUAAAGAAAAAAAUAAAAAUAAAAAUAAAAUUUUUUAAUAUCUAAAAAUCUGAAUUGGGUUUUGUUAAUUUUAAUUUAAAAGUUCAAGAAUUUAAGGUAAAGAGGUCAUGUAAUAUUAGUUAGUGUAUUUUUGGGAUUGUGAUGAAAUGUGUUUUUUAAAAUAAUUCUUUGUUUGAAAAUGUAUUAAAAUAAAAGAAAUUAAAAUUUUUUAUUUUCAAUAUCAACACAUAAAAAUAAUUAAAAUACACUAAAAAACAAUAAUAAAAAAAAAACAAUUCAAACGUUCAGGAUCUCAUCACGCCAUCAUAACUAUUUAUUAUUCAAUGGUUAUAGGCGCUGCUAUUGGGUUUGUUGUUAUGUGAAAAUAAAAAUAUAAAAAAAAAUGUCAAAAAAAAGGAGAAUUUACAUAUAUUUCAUCUACAGCAUCCAUCAGUGUUUUUAAUUUUAAAUAUUAUGAAUUUUUUAAGGUUUUUUUUUAUUAUUAACGUGAAUAUCUGAACUAACUUAUUCGUACAUCAACUAAUAUCACAUGUUCUAAAGCUAAUAACUAUGUAAGUUUCUAGUGGUUUUAAGAUUUGUAAGAUUCAAACUGUUAAUUUUUAGGAAACAAAUCUACAACCUGACCAAUUAAGUUAAAACUCAUGGUUAAUGUUUUUCUGGCUUUGAUGGACUCUCCCCGCGAGGAAAAAAAAUAAAUAAAUUUGUUGUUCUCCAGCAUUCCAGAUACCAUCCUGAGGCAAAGAAUCAUGUUUUCAUUCCUUAUUCUUCUCCCAAGAAUUAUGCAAAUUGUCUUAUAUUUCUUCAUUUUUCUUGCUGCAUGAAUGCUUGCCUGUGCGUGUCAUCGAGAUUAAGAAAACAUGGAAUGAUACAAUAUUUCACGAAUAAGAGAUGUGUUUUGGAUCAAGGUACUAACUUGUUUAUGCAAAAAAUUUACAAAAAUCAAAUUCUUGAAUCCUCGUUCACCUCAUUGCAUGGGUUCGAAGUUGUGUUUUUUUAACAGACGAAUAAAUAAUUAUGGCAUAUGACUGGUUCAUAGACAUAGAUCAUGUAGAUGGUUUUGUUUUAAGCCAACAGUAUCAUAUUUUCUUAGUGUCCAUGUUCUUAUGUUUAAACCUGAUAUGGAGAGUUGCAAGUUUAGGUUAGUUUUUUAAAAAAUAAACCGAGAGGGGAGGCUGGCAAAUUAAUCUCAAAUGUUUAGAUGAUGGAAAACAUGACAGUGCUUUAGUUUGUCCUUGAACACCUUGACAUGUAGCCAUUAGAAAAUAAUGAUACCUGCUUUCAAUUUCACCCUCAUUCCUCGCUUUGCCUAUAGCUAGCUCAAGGAUUCAACUUGAUUUUUUUAAAAAAAAAGCUUGGAUUAAUCGUUAAUGUUUUCCCUCACUGGUUUGGAUUCAGGUAUCACUAGUGUACAAUAUAUAAAAUAACUAAUGAACUCUCUUUAGUGUAUUGGAUACAAAAAUAAAAGUUUAUAAUUAAAAAAAAAACCCACUUUAUGCGUCUUCUAAUCUUAAGAACUGACAUGGUUUUAACUUAAAUUUUAAUAAUAGUACAAUGAAUUUUAUCAUAAUAUUUAUAUCCCAACCGACAUCCUCAUGCCUUUUAAAUAUUAAAUUUCAAAUUCAUGAAAAAAUGAAUUUAUAGCAUCUUAUUUGUAGAUAGGAAAAAAAAGACAUUGUUUAAAGAUUAUGAUUCUAAGUAGUCACUGUAAAUUUUAUAGUACGAGACUAGUUAUUUAAAAAAAAUAAUAUUAUCAACCCUUAAGUAUCAUAUUAAAGAUAUAUUACAUCACUGAUUUUGUUUUAAAUUGUUAAGUGUUUGUUUUUACUAUACUACCAAUAGCAUACCUGUAAUAUUUCUGACACCAAUAAAUAUUUGGAUACGAAUACUUUCAACUUUGAUGUUGGUAAAUAUUAUGUAACAUAAAAAGAUGUAGUGUUCCUAACUCUAGUGCUAGUGAAUAAACCAGUAAAUUUUGAAUUGAAAGCAACACAUACUUAUUUUUUUGUUAUUUUGUUAUAUAAAAAAACAGUAUGUAUAGUUUAUAGAUUUGCAUUUCACAAUAAAAAUUAACAAAUUAACUAAAAAAACACGAAGGACCUAUAAAUAUAUUCAAAAUGGUCUAUUAUUAUUUUUUUUGAAUUUUUUGAUAUCACAAAAGGGCUCUUUUGACCUGGUAUCAAAACAAAAAAAAAUAAAAUAAAAGGGAUGAUAUAAGUGUGUGUUUUGCCAAACACACCCUUGAUCAGCCGGCCUAAUCUAUGCUGUUUUCUGCCCGGUCACUAUGCAUGCAUGCGUGAAUUACUCACGCAUGCUUUGCACAGUAAGAGGGUAAUUAUUUUGUCGUUUUGCGAGCGGGGAAAAACAAAAGAAGCUCACCUGGUGCAGCUGGAGGCGAAGCUGGCGCUUGGGCAUGAAACGAUGGUGAAGCUGGUGGGUCUAUGCUACUCCCCUCUUCAGUUCUUUCUCUAUUCUUCUUUCUCUCUGUUUUUUUUCUUUCUGUGCUUUUUUUGCGUUUUCUAUGUUUGUAUCUCUGUUCGUGAUCUCCCUGUCCAGUCCUUCCUCUGUUUGUUCGUUCUCUCCCCCAGUUCGUCCCUGUGUUUCUCUCCUGGAGCCGCUGCUUGAAGACGAAGAUGUUGAUUAGGGAGGGCUGGUUAACCAAUGUUCCCCUCUGCUUCUGUUUCUUCUAGGCUUUCUCGUUCUCUGUGGUUUUUCGUUUUCUUAUGGUCUCCUCUGGUAUUCCGGUCUGUGUUCUCUUUUUCUUUUUUCUUCCUCCUUUUUUUUUUCUCCCACUUUUUUCGAGUGGCCUCUCUCUUGCUUAUAAAGCUAGCGAAUGCCAUCGGUUGCGACCAUUGUAAAUGCAGUAAUGAUGGCAAUGCAUCGUGGAGCGUCCCUUUUUUUUUUCUUCCCUGCCUGGCGAGAUGGAGAAGACGAACAAUUCUCUUUGAAACGGCGCCAUUUUUGGGAUGAGAACGGUCGUUUUCAAGUUUGGUCACUGCCUUUUUGAACUUUUGUAAUUAAACACCUUAAUCAGGAAAUUCCCUAUCUUGUUUUUAUUUUCGCCCUUGGAUAAAUUCCAAUUGGACCUCUUUAUUUUAGAAAAUCUUACAAAAUAGUCCUUGGUUUCUGAAUUUUUCAAUUCAGUCCUUACUUGACUCUUCAACUUUAAAUUCCUUCAAAAUUACCCUUAUAAAAACCAAUUAAGCUCCCUACAGUAACCAUGUAUUUUCACUUUGGUUCUUGUACUUUAAUUCCUUGCAAUUCUGACCCAAAUAACCUCCAACCUUUGGUAUUUUUUUAAUUAAGCACCUGCUUUCAUUAAUUAAACUAAUAUCAAGUUCAAUUGAGUCAUUAAUUUUAUCAAUUCUUCAAUUAAACUCUUGAUUUGAUUAAUUAAACUAAUCCAAUUUAAUUAAAUCCUCAAACUUCUAAUUUAUGUUGUUUUGGCUGAAAUUUUAAUUUAAUCUUUAUUUAUUUUUUUAUCAUCGCUUUUUUAAUAAAAAAAGAGUAAAAAAUUAGGUCAUGACAAUUAUCAUAAUUAAAUUUAGUUUAUUAAAUUGCCUUUAUUGAAGGACCAACAUGGACUUAAUUUUUUUUAAAAUGAAAUCAAAAUAAGUUAGACAAACUUUCAUUGAAAUUUUGCUACACCAAAAAGGUUUUAAUUGGAUGAAUUUAAAUAAAUAAAUUGACGAGCCCCUUGUUUAUAAGGAUUGAUGUUCAAUAAUUUAUUAAAUAAUUAAAUUAAAAAGUCUUCUAAUUUAAGGACUGAUUUCAAAUUAUUUGCUAAAAAUGAUGAAAAGAUUGUAAGUAAGCUUACGGAAUAUGAUUAGAUUUUUUUAUAGCAAUUAAAAAUAAUAGAUUUUGAGAGAGAAAUAAAAAAUAGAAGUAACUUUUUAUUUGGAAUAAUACAGUAAUGAUGAUGUCGGUUUUAUUUACUAGGUAGCAACUUUAACUCUUUGUUUUUUUAUAGAAAUUAAAGAUGAUUGAUUUUUAAAAAAAUACAAAAUAUAGGUAAUUUUUUAUUUGGAAUGAUGCAGAAAGGGUGUUAUUGAUCAAUAAAAGUGUUGUUGAUCUUGCCAUAUGCAUAAGUAACCUAUUUACUAGUUUAAUAUUUAUUUUAGGAUUCUUAGUAUCAUUUAUUUGCUAAGUAGUGAGUCUAAUUUUUUUUUUUUCUUCUUCUAAUUUUAAAGAGUUGUCAUCAACAUUAUGGCAUGAUAAUUAUAAAAAAUAAAGUAAGAAAAUAUAUAAAUUAAAUCAUCAAAGCAUAAAAUAUUAUCUAAACAAUACUUGAAAAGAAGAAAAAAAAGAGUCAUAGAAGGGAAAACCUUUAAUUUUAAAAGAUAAAUUGUAAUAUAAAUGCAUCUUCUCUUAAAGUGUAGGUUUUUACAAAAAAAAAAAUCUCAAGAUGAAAUUCAAUAUUAUAUGUGUGGUGGGAAACAUACCAAUUUGUCAGUAAAAACUAACAAAAUGUAUUAGCUGCUUUGUUUUUUUUUUUUUUGAGAUGUGUAUCAUCGUAAGCAUCAACAUCAUUCAUAUUAUUAAAUUAUAAAAUAAUCCUUAUAGUCUUGAAAAAUUGAAUUAAAAUAAUACUUUAGUUUUCUUUUUUAAAAAAAAAACUAACUAAUUAGUUUCUUUUAUCCUUUUCUUGUUCUAUUUCAAUUUAUUUUAUUUUUCAAAUAAAAAUGAUAAUAUAAAAAAAUUUGAAAAUAAAAAAAUUAUUUUUUGGAAUAAAUUAUUAUCAAAUAUAGUCAACACUAGUCAAUUAAUUUUUAAAACUAUAAAAACUAUUUAAUUCAUUUUAUAAAAAUAGAGAAACUAAUUUAUCUUUUUUUUUUGCUACAGGUUAAAAGAACCUUAAUUAUAAUUAAGAUUCAAACUUGGUUUUAUUAUAAAACAAAAAAUUAGCUAAGAGUAUAUAAUGAUUUAGAUUUAAGUCUGGAUAUGUGAGUGAUAGUUUAAAACAAAAGAAAUAUAAAAUCAUAUUAAAGAGAAAUUGCUCCUUACCCCUCAGGUGACGCAACUGGGUCACUUCCUUCUUCAGCUCCUCCGGGGGCAUCCAAUCACAGGCUCAAGGCCCAUCUCUUCGAAACCAAACCCAGAGGUGGAAAAAGAACUCCGAGUGAAUAAUAAUUAACAAUAAUUGUACUAUACCUCUCUCUUUCAAUUUGGUGUUUCAUGAUACAACUAAGCAAAUUAAGAUUGAUUUUUGAUAUUUUAAGAACCAAGUGCUUAGGUUUUCUUUUAAUCAUUCAAAAAAUAGCUGACUACUAGUGUAUUUGUUAUUGAGAUAACUUUUAUGAUAGCAAUUUUUUUAAAAAAAAAGUUUUAAGAAAUUAAUUUUAAUUAUUAUUGAUUAGAUUAAAAUAUAUGUUUGGUUAAAAUCACGAUCGAAAUUAUUAUUGAAUAAAAAACAAUAAGAUGUUUGGUUAAAACUACUCUUGAAAAUAUUGAUAAUAAUAAAAUAAUUAAAAAAACAUGGAAUAAUUUCAUAGUUUUGAACUAAAUUAUUGUUACAAUACAUCAUUAUUACAAUAAUGCAAUAUUAAAAUUCUAUUUUUAUUACUUUAUCAAACUAUUUGUAAUUUCAUUAUAAAUACAAUUCAUUUGAGAAGAUCUUUGAUGUCCGUUGCUUUGGUAGCGUGUAUAACGACAUCCAUUAAAAAAAAGAUGUCAAGUAUAGAAUGAAGGGCGUAGAAAAAUUCUCUCUUUUCUAAAGCUUCAGUGUAGAAAAAUUUAGAGCAUAUGAAAUAAUAAUGGGAAUAUAAUAAAAGAAAAGUAAGGGGCUAUAGGAACUUUCAAGGAAGGAAGGUCAAGUUGACAUCCACAUCAUUGUGGAGCUAACAAAGCUCUGACACGCGUUAAGGCUGUCUGUGUCUACAUCAUAGUUUUUAAAUCCGAUUCGGUGGUCGACCCGGUCUAAUGAUCGGGUCACGGAUUAGAUGGGUUGACCCGGGUCAACCCAAAAAAAUAAUAAUUCAACUUCUCAUUAAAGUAAAUGCUCUAAAAAGACAACUUUGAGUGUACGCAAUGUAAUUAAUUUUGCCUGUCAUAUCUCAUAUUUGUAUGGUUGUAUCCCAUCCACAUUGAUGUUGUCAUUUCUUGUACGAGAACAAAAAAAUAUGGUAAGAAAUUUUACAAAAAUACCCCCAAUUAAAAACCCAACAAAAAAACUCAGUAAAGAAAAUCCUGUUUCAAUUCCAAAAACAAAAACCCACUUCCAUAAAUUUUCUAAGAAUCCCACCACCAAAAACACAAAAAAAUAAAGGCACCCUUACAGACUGUACUUGUGGACACCUUGGAAAGUUUCAAUCUUUUUAGCAUGUGAUGUAAAGGAUUACUCUCUCAAAAUCUUAGCACCUCUCUCUAAAGCCUCAGAUCAAACCCAGCAAUGUUGUUCGUGGGUGACCAUUCCUAGGAGCUCUAAAUUACCCGUCGUCGUUGAUUGAGGUAAAAUGGAUGGCUGAGAUUGUACAAAAGAAGAAGAUGAAGAAGAUUAAGGGGAAGGAGAAGGGUUUGAAGAAGAGAAAGGAGAGAAACUAAAAGGGCCAUCAGCAAAAAAAAAAAAAACAAAAUUUGAUUGAGAAAAGAAAAAGUAGGUUGCUAUUGCUGAUAUGAGCCUUUCGAUUUCACUUGUUUUUCCUUUUUUUUUUCUUUUACUGUGUAGAGAAAUAAAAUGAUAGACAGUGUAUAUAGAAACCUUGGGCAAGACAGUUGCCAUGAAAGGAGAGACGAAGAGCAAGACAGUUGGCAAAAAAAAGGUAAGGUCGGGUCUCAUCCGGGUUUACCCGGGUCGACCGGGUUCCGGGUCGACCGGGUUCCGGGUCGACCGGGUUCCGGGUCGACCGGGUUUUACCGGGUCAAAUCCCUAGCUGUUUUUUACUUAGACCCGGCCCGGCCUCAGGCCCGGAUUAGCCAGGUCUUGGGUCGACCCACCAGACCGGGUUUCAAAACUAUGGUCUAGACAUAGUCACGCACCAAGCAAGCACCAUGGGGAGGGACUCUGUCUUCUUUUUUCUACUCUCCCUCCUCUCCUCUCCAACAACACGUCCUCUGUUUUCUAUUAUUACCACUUCCAAGAACUAGUAUAAUAUAAUUUCUUGCUUCUCCAUCGGUAUUCUAUCAAAAUAUUAUAGUGAUAUUUUCUUUCUUGUAUUUGUACUUACCAAACCCAAAAAUAAACAGCCUCCAAGUCUUCGUCUUUAUCUUACUAUUAUGUGACGGUGGUUUCUUCUUGAUUUCUCUCACCAAGACACCAGAAGAAGAAGUUAGGAUUCCAAUGGCGGUUGCUUUGCUUUGGUUUACCAAAUGGGCAACUGCUUAGAUUCUUCUGCUGCUAAAGUAGAUUCUGUGAAGCUUAGCAAGCACCAAUUACUAUCACUUCCAACACUAAUGCGUGUCAAUUAUUUUGGCACUAAUUAGUGUUGUUUGUCACUUCCACUUAUGCAUUGUCUUUUGAAUGGAUGGUUGUUUAUAAAUAGAAAAUGUAUUUAAGCUUAUUAUACACAUCAUAGGAGAGAAAUAAGAGAUUGUCUUUUGAAUGGAUGUUUGUCUAUAAAUAAAAAAUAUAUUUAAGCUUAUUAUACACACCAUAAGAGAGAAAUAAGAAAGAAGAAAAAGAGAGUAAGAGAGGGAAAGUAAUCCCAUAAAAUUAUAAGGUAUUUGUGAGGGGAGUAAGUGAGGUGUUUUUUUUUAGUCAUAAAAAUAUUUCAGUUAUUUUCCUAUUAGUAGAGAGAUGUUGUAAUUCUCACAUUACUUAGUAAAAUCCUUCUAUAUUUGUCCGUGAAUGUAAUCAAAUUGGAUAAACCACAUAAAUUUUUGUAUGUCUAAUUUCUCAUUAUAUCCUAUCUCUUAUCUUGUAAGUGCAGCAAGAGUUAAUAUUAGGUUUAAUAGAUUUAAAUUGCUAUUGACAAUAUUACAUGCAAGAAAUUACACUAAUUUUAUUUUUUAUAAUCCAUACCGACAGCUUAUUACAAACAAAAGUCAACAAAAUAACUAAAAUCCAUUACAGGAAUCAUGCCGAUUAUUAAUUGCAAAUUAACAACUGACCAUACACGAUAGUUCUGAAAUCAAGAUAAUUUAAUUAGCUCUCUCCUCGAACCUCACAGGAAAACCACCCUGCAUUUUGGACGUCAAAUAAGAGACAAACACGGGCUCAAAACCCUCCUCUGCAGCAGGAACAACCUUAAACCUCCGUACAAUCCCGGCUACCACCCUUUUCAUUUGCAAGAAAGCCAUGUCCUUACCCAAACAGAUCCUUGGUCCGGCCUGAAAAACAGGGUAGGAGUAUGGGUCCUUCCCUACAAAACUCCACUUCCCAUUAUUAUUAACUCCAUCGCCAGCUCCCUGCAGCCAUCUCUCCGGCUUGAACUUUUCCCAAUCCGGACCCCACAACAUCUCGAGCCUCCCCAUUGCAUACGGAUGGUAAGACACUCUCAUUCCCUUCUUAAUCACAGUCCCGUCAGGCAAGACAUCGUCCUGCAUCGCAACCUUGCCAUCUACGGGGACUGGAGGGUACAGCCUCAUGCUCUCACAUAAAGAAGCAUGUGUGUAGACCAUGUCCUUGACUUCUUCAUAACUGGACUCUCCGAUUUCUCUUUUAUUUCUCUGAGUAUUUCCCUUUCCACUUCUGGGUUUUGAGAGAGUAGCCAGAAAUACCAUGUUAAGGCAGCGGAAGUGGUGUCUCGCCUGCUAGAAUAAAACUGAUGACAAUAUCAGUGACAAAGUCCUCGUCAGAAUGGCCUGAGCUCAAGAAACGUGACAGAAGAUCUACGGUUUCGAGGGAUGAUUUGUUGCUGAGUUCCUGCUUCUUUUCUUUGAUGAUGUUUCUGGCGAACUCACGUAAUUCAGAGGAUGCUUCUUUGAGGCGUUUCUCUGAUCCAAUAUUGAAGACCCUCUUAAUCUUCCAAAGAAAGGGGAAUAGCGUAGCGAACCUGUCACUGGAUAUCCUGGCAGCUUCAUCAAAAGUUUUCGCAAAUUCGGCUUCGGGAGAUCAGGCAGCAAGUAUGCAGGAUCGUAUCCGAAAGCGAUCUUGCAUAUGUUGUCAAAAGCGAAUCUUUGAAGUAUGUCUUGCAAAUCGAGAACUGUAUUGUUAGCCGCAGCAGUGGAGAGAAUCGGGAUUAAGCGUUGAGAUACUUCAGUAUCGACAACGGUCUCAACGAAUUUACGCAAUGAUUUGGUGUUGAAUUCAUGGCUGGAAACUUGUCUUUGAAACUUCCAAGAAUCACCAUCAAUGUUAAAGAUACCGUUUCCAAGAAAAUCGAAGAGGGUUCGCCGAGCUUUGCUACCUUUCUCAUAGUUGUAAAACUGGGUUUUAAGCAUGUGUUGGACAUUUGCUGGGUUUCCUGUAAGAAC